UACGUAGGCAGCAAGCGUUGUUCGGAGUUACUGGGCGUAAAGGGUGCGUAGGCGGCUUUUUAAGUUUGGUGUGAAAUCUCCCGGCUCAACUGGGAGGGUGCGCCGAAUACUGAGAGGCUAGAGUGUGGGAGAGGAAAGUGGAAUUCCUGGUGUAGCGGUAGAAAUGCGUAGAUAUCAGGAGGAACACCGGUGGUGUAAACGGCUUUCUGGACCAUAACUGACGCUGAUGCACGAAAGCGUGGGUAGCAAACAGG
rnacentral:rRNA from 1 species